GAAAUUAGGAUUUCUAUUUUCUGCACUUAUUCUAUAAAUUCAGUAUCAGUUGAUGCAUGAUGAUGAUCAUCCACCGAGCAGCACAUCAUCUUGGAAAAGCAGAUGCGAAUUUCUGCUAGGGAUAAGCUGGUCAAUGCAGGAAAAUCUAAAAGAAAGCGACUAAAAUCAACAUUUGAAGUUCAUCGAAAAAUGAAGAGGAUCAUGCCUUUCUGUUGGAAUUGCUUUUCUGGUUUAAGCAAUCAUUCAGAUCACCCAUGCCUCCACUACGCCACCUGCUGUUGGAUGGCACUGGCCGUCCAAGCAUGUGGAACUGGAAGGACUGUCCGUCAUGGCGGCACAGCUCAUCUCAGAGGAGAAAAGACCAAGGUCCUGCAGGCAAUGAGUUACUAUAUAUGAUAUCAUAUUCCAAAUACAAUUAUUGAACUCAUCAGUUCAGCAGAUCCUACAUAAAAGAGUGGCUUGUCUGCUUGAGCCCGCAUACUACGACGGCCAACUUGCUCGGUGCACGCGUCGGUUGGUCCCAGGUCAGGCCCCUCUAGAUCCCACUGGGAAGCUGCAGUACUGGAUGGAUGAGAACUACGCUUACAAUUGCGAGCACUGCAAGGUAUGCAUGUGUCCCUCUUCCACGGAUGUCAACAUGUCGUUUUUUAUAAGUUUUAGACACAGUCUGAUCUAUGUACUUUGUCCGUUUUUCCUUAGCAAACAAUGCAUUCUGCGAUAAUGAGCAUAAGUCGAACUAUUAUUAUAACAUUGCAGUUUUGUUCGAGUCCAAGUUCCCGACCAUCAUCUCACAUAUAGUGUUCUCAGAUUAGAUCGAUAAUAAUGCAACUUUAUGCUAGAAUGUGCAACAAAACUAUCUUGUUUGUAUCUGUUAACUGUUGAAUCCCCAAGAUGAAUGCCCGUACAAGAAGCUUGUCAAUCCUAAAUUCUUUCUUAGUAAACAUAUUUGAUCACAUAGUUUUCUUUUUUUGUGAAUUCCGAACAUACUACUUGGAGGAAGGAGGGGGCGGCACAGAGAGGGUCCUCACACAGUCCAGUGAUCGACCACGACGACGCGGCCGUGCGGUGGGUACCCACGGACGCCGCUCUGCCGGGUCGGAGGAGGAGUCCAGAUCCGGCACCUCACCAAGGUCGGCGCUGCAUGGUGAGUGCAACUGCCUUGAGAAACCCGGCCCGGCCAUCUUCUCCCCCGAGUUGCUGCCACGGCGAACCCUAUAGGCGCCUCUGCGCCCCAGUCAAGUCUCAUGUGUGCGUUGAUUUAGGAGGAGUGUACUGUUGAGAUCAAUGUCGGGAUCCGCAAGUUUCUAUUGCGUAGCAUCAGAUUAAUAUUGCCAAGCAUGAGCUGGCGGGGCAUAUGGAAGAUAUCCCAUGGGCCAGCAGCUGGAGCCUGGAAGUGGAUGUUAAUGCUCCAUAGCAGAGAGUUUAGGUUUACAGCAAGCAGUGACUACCAAAUUUUCCAUGUAGGAUAUAAACGGAGAUUGUCAUGGAGAUGGUUGCCAUCAGUUCCAUUUUGUUGCACAUCACAAGCCUGCCAUUUUAGGUGUACUUUUGCGGCUGUACUUUUGUUAAUUGAAAGUGGAAUUACCCCAAUUGAUAACCAAAUUUUGUGCUCACUGCCGACAUGGGGUUGACGAUGACGUCCCAGAGCCCUUGCCUCUGCUUGAUGCUGCGUCGAGCAAGAUGAAGCCAUCAGAUACGUGUGGUGUGUAGAGUCCGUUCUAAUCAAUGGAAAGGAAGUGGAGGAAGGGAAAUUGCCUACAGAGUUAUUUACAUUUCAACCUGAUCACAAGGCCAUUAGAGAUUGGACUAUUCCACUCGGUCCGAACUACAUUAGGUCAAUUGUACAUUUUAUUUCAAGUUACGAAGAAUACGAGCUGAGAACAUAUAGGAGCUCUAUGUGGUUUAAAUAUUUUUAGACGAAGUUUGAUGUACUUCUCAUGAAUAUCUUCGUAAACAGAAAUAAUGGUAAACCAUGCACUGCUACAUUAUGUUUCACCAGAAUCACUCUUUAUAAUAUCUUGUUGCUUUCA